UACGUAGGGGGCAAGCGUUGUCCGGAUUUAUUGGGCGUAAAGAGCGUGUAGGCGGCCAUUCAGGUCAGCUGUGAAAACUCGAGGCUCAACCUCGAGACGUCGGUUGAAACCGUUUGGCUAGAGUCCGGAAGAGGAGAGUGGAAUUCCCGGUGUAGCGGUGAAAUGCGCAGAUAUCGGGAAGAACACCCGUGGCGAAGGCGGCUCUCUGGGACGGUACUGACGCUGAGACGCGAAAGCGUGGGGGAGCGAACAGGG
rnacentral:rRNA from 1 species